UUUAUUUUUUUUCCUUCUCCCCCAUGUCACCAUUCUUCUCCUUGUCCAACUUCUUCCCCAAACUUCUCUUCUUCCCUAGCCUUUCUCCCCCUCUAACUCACCCACUUUUUCCCUUUUCUUUCUCAACUUUCAUCUCUUUUUAAUCAACCCUCAUCAGUAUAAAUAGAGGUGAAAAUGGAGGAGGAAGGAGGCGAUAUUUUUGGAGCGAAAAAUUGAUUCGGUAAAAACCCAUAAAGUUAAAACAUUUAUAGAUCCGGUGAAGAAGAUCCACUCACAAGCUUCCGAUCGAUAGUGACCACAGCUGCAAUAGAUUCCAGCGUUCCAUAUCAACGACAAACCCGUUCGACAUCCAAAGGGCUGAUUUCCAAGCUAUUGAGAGUUGGUUUUGUGAUAAAGAAAAAAACUGGAAGAAAGGAGGAGGAAAACACAAAGAAGAAGAAAAGGAAGAAGAAAGGUAAAUAAGGAGUGUUAAUACCUUUCCUACACUCAGCCGGCUCCCGAACCUUAAAUUUGGUUUUGCAAACUGUUUUUAUUUUAAACGGGUGACCAAUCACACCCCAAAGAUGAUUGGUGGUAACUCCAAACCUCACACCUCAAAAGAGACUCUUAGGGAAGGAUGUCGGCCGCUCCACGUCAGGAUGAUGUUGCGACAGCUUGGCAACUCCGUUGGGGACUUUAGAGAGUCAAGCCACAAAAUUUUUAUUUUUCUAUUAUCCUAUUUUUUUAUGUGUUUAGUUUUUUGUUUUUAGACUUUGGUUUUUUUUUCUUUAUUUUUCUUAUUUUAUUGUGUAAUUUCGCUCGAUGUAUGUUCAUGCAUAUCUCGCACACUAUCACAACUCUAUGUCCCAAGCUUUACCUUCUAGGAGUAUAAUUGAGAAUCGAGUAAUGUCGGCAAUCAAGGGAUUUAAUUGCCCCCGGGCAGGGAUACGAAAGAUGCUCGCUCAAGUUAGUUCA